AGUGGAGAAGGAGAUGCCAGGGCUGGCACUGCCGCCGCGCCGCGACGCGGAGGAGUCUCAGCGCUCGCCCCGUCGCCAUGGCAACCGGGUAGGCAGGAGUGGGAAGCAGAGAAGGCACCAGGACCCUGUGGAAGAGGGCCAUCCCAGGCCCUGCCCUGCCGCCCUGCCGCCACCCCUGCCCCAGCCAGCAAGCUCCGGGCUCUGUUCGAAAUCUGUGAGGCGUGAAGUGAAGCAGGACCUGUGGUCUGUGACUCUGGAUGUGAACCCUGGAAUCAAACCCUGGAUUCGAAGAACUCCAAAGAAAAGGAUGAGGAUCACGCUUUGCCUGGGCGUCGGUGCGCUGACUCACCGCCCGCCCCCACCUGCCCGCGAGCAGUUUCUCAUGACACUUAAUCAGAUUAUGUGCAAUACCAAGCACUGUGGUUUGCUCACAUUCUGGAUCUGGACACUGCUGUUCGUUUUUAACUUCCCUGAGACAAACUGUACUUCUCCAACUCUGGUCACCAUGCUGAAUCACAAUAAGGCACUGUUUCCAGGCGGCCAACAGUGACACCCGAUGUGACUAGAGAAAGAUUAGAACUUAAAAUAUCCUGAGAAAAUUCAAGGCAUGACAGAACAGAAUGUUCUCGAAUAAGGCACCAAGGCAGCACUGCCAGGAAAUGGUUGUUAUAUUUUGGAUUGAUGCAGAAUAAACAAAGAAAAAAGUAAAAACUUCCAAAACAGAGAGCUGUCCUGAAGCCUGUCAGAAUCAUAGUCUAACAGCAAUGCUCCUAAGUCCUCGGAGGACCACAACUUGAAGGCCUAAGAACAUCAUGGAGGUGGCAACCAAAGGCCACCUGCAUCUCUGAUGUCCCUGGGGCUUCCUCAGGGGCCCUUUACUGAAAUCUGAAGGUGGCUGAACACUCAGAUCCUGGGCUGACGCCCCACGCACAUGCGGAAGGCUACCAACAAAAAGAACUCUGUGGGGCCGCCUGGGAACCAGCGCGUCCACGGGCAUCCCGAGCCGCCGACACUGACAGGCUGAAGUGGGCAACGGACGGACGCCCGCCACGCGCUCCCGACCCAACAUCCUUCCCUUAUUGGUUUGCUCUGC